GUGCCAGCAGCCGCGGUAAUACGUAGGUGGCGAGCGUUAUCCGGAAUUAUUGGGCGUAAAGGGUGCGUAGGCGGUUUAUUAAGUCUGUGGUGAAAGUGCGGGGCUCAACCCCGUAUGGCCACAGAAACUGAUAGACUAGAGUACAGGAGAGGGCAGUGGAAUUCCAUGUGUAGCGGUAAAAUGCGUAGAUAUAUGGAGGAACACCGGUGGCGAAGGCGGCUGCCUGGCCUGUAACUGACGCUGAGGCACGAAAGCGUGGGGAGCAAAUAGGAUUAGAUACCCUAGUAGUCCACGCUGUAAACGAUGAUUACUAAGUGUUGGAGAAAUUCAGUGCUGCAGUUAACGCAAUAAGUAAUCCGCCUGGGGAGUAUGCACGCAAGUGUGAAACUCAAAGGAAUUGACGGGACCCCGCACAAGCGGUGGAGUAUGUGGUUUAAUUCGAAGCAACGCGAAGAACCUUACCAGGUCUUGACAUGGUGUUUAAGGCCCUAGAGAUAGGGAGAUAAUAAGCACACACAGGUGGUGCAUGGUUGUCGUCAGCUCGUGUCGUGAGAUGUUGGGUUAAAGUCCCGCAACGAGCGCAACCCUUGUCUUUAGUUACCAUCAUUAAAGUUGGGGACUCUAGAGAGACUGCCGGUGAUAAACCGGAGGAAGGUGGGGAUGACGUCAAAUCAUCAUGCCCCUUAUGACCUGGGCUACACACGUACUACAAUGGCGCAUACAACGAGCUGCAAGAUGGUGACAUCAAGCGAAUCUCUUAAAAUGCGUCUCAGUUCGGAUUGGAGUCUGCAACUCGACUCCAUGAAGUCGGAAUCGCUAGUAAUCGCGGAUCAGCAUGCCGCGGUGAAUACGUUCUCGGGGUUUGUACACACCGCCCGUCACACC
rnacentral:rRNA from 1 species